rnacentral:rRNA from 1 species
UACGGAGGGGGCUAGCGUUGUUCGGAAUUACUGGGCGUAAAGCGCACGUAGGCGGCUUUGUAAGUUAGAGGUGAAAGCCCGGGGCUCAACCCCGGAAUUGCCUUUAAGACUGCAUCGCUUGAACGUCGGAGAGGUGAGUGGAAUUCCGAGUGUAGAGGUGAAAUUCGUAGAUAUUCGCAAGAACACCAGUGGCGAAGGCGGCUCACUGGUCCGGUUCUGACGCUGAGGCGCGAAAGCGUGGGGAGCAAACAGG